rnacentral:rRNA from 1 species
AUUGAACGCUGGCGGCAGGCCUAACACAUGCAAGUCGAGCGGAGCGGCGGACGGGUGAGUAAUGCCUAGGAAUCUGCCUGGUCGUGGGGGAUAACGUCCGGAAACGGGCGCUAAUACCGCAUACUAUCAGAUGAGCCUAGGUCGGAUUAGCUAGUUGGUGGGGUAAAGGCCUACCACGGCGACGAUCCGUAACUGGUCUGCGUGGCUGAUCAGUCACACUGGAACUGAGACACGGUCCCGACGCCUACGGGAGGCAGCAGUGGGGAAUAUUGGACAAUGGGCGAAAGCCUGAUCCAGCCAUGCCGCGUGUUUGAUGAAUGUCUUCGGAUUGUAAAGCACUUUUAGUUGGGAGGCGUUACCAACAGAAUAAGCGCCGGCUAACUUCGUGCCAGCAGCCGCGGUAAUUC